CUUUAUUUGUAUGUGUUGCUGGGGAUUGAACCUGGGCCGCACGCAUGCCAGUGGAAUACCUAUGUAACAAGAAUUCUUUGAAAUAGUUUCAGAAGUGCUAGUGUCAACAUUAAAAUUCAUCAUACCUUUCAUAAGGAAAUGAAACCCAGAUUAUGAAGAGCUGGAUGGGACCUAUGUGAUCAUUAUAUUUCAAUAGUGUUUAAUUUUUAAUUUUUUUCCUUUGGGUUAAGAGAUGGAACUCUUUUCUUCAAACAAAAUCUUACAGGGAAGCCCAAAUGUUGAAGAUCAGAGCAUAGCCUCAGGGUCCCUAUAGUUCUCAAGGCACAGUUAGAAAAUCAUCAGUUUAAUUCAACCUUUCUUAAAGAAAAGUGAGGUUGAGUAGUUGUCAAAGACUACACAAAUGGUGGCAAUUUAGCAACUAGAAACCAGGCCUCUUGCAUUACAGUCAGGCUCUUUCCAACAGCUAUCUUUCCCAUAGUUCCUAGAUUGUGCUCAGAGAAAGGGUUCAGAAUCUGAGAUAUUCUUUGUCAAGAAGAAUCCUGAGGAGAGGACAAAAUGAAAAUACUGAGACUAUUUCCAUAAUAUAAUGAUCUUUGUACUAUAAAAAUAUUCAGGAAAAAAACAGCUUAGAAAUAAAGAAUUCUCCUGGGACUUAAA